UAAAAUUCGAGGAAUAUAUUUUAUUAUUUUGCAGAACUGUUAUAUAUAAUUCGGUGGCUUAUUAUAUCUUCAGAAUUCUUUCUUUAUUCUGAAAAAGUGAAAAAGGACGAAUUCUAAACUGUCAUACUUUUCAUUCUAGAGCAAGAAGAUAUUUUCCAGUAUGCAAGUUAUGUUUUAUUUCUUUAUUGUGGCCGUCUUGCUAGCUUCGACUGUCGCAUACUGGGGGCAUGGCAGUGGCAGUAGAUGGCAGUGGCACUACCCAGAUUAUCCAGGUAUUUACCCAUAUCCCUGGGGGAAGAAAUGAACACAGAAAUUUAAGGUUAAAGAAUCAAGAUUUGGAUAAAAUUUUGACUUUCGUGAAAAAAUGAUCUUGAUUCCGAAAAUACCCGGAUCACCACCUGAUAUUGUAACACAAUAAUAGUAAUAAUAGAAAGAACGUUUUGAAUCCUGUUGUUCGAUCUCUUUUUAUCAAAGUAAAUAGCAUAUGAAUUUAUGAUACUGAAAAUAAUACGAUUAGGAAAUUAUA